UCCAACAUGGCGGCAUGUUUGGAAAAAUAAUAUUUACAAAACCUGAGCAAACUGAAAACAGUCCUUAAGCUUCCCAUAACGUGUCAUGAGUUGAAACGUACGUAUUGCAUCAUUUUGGUGAUAUCUGUGUGGAGAGAAUGGAUUGCCAGACAAGGAUUGGAAAAAAUUCAUGAGGACUCACAUCUCGAAUUUUUCACAAACACGUGUAAAAGAGCUAAUUCAAGAUAAGAUCCACCACAAAAGCAUGACAGCUGAACAUCUUGAGCCAAGAAAUGAUGGUGAAAAGUAUUGCGAGAGAGUACUGGUGAUGACUGACAACAACAAUGCAAAUGAAAGGUAGACAAUGGUUUAGUUGAAGAUUGCAGUUAUGGAAGAAUAAUUAAUGAUGUUUACCGGGAUUGAAGGUUACAAGAAGAUCUCUUGAAAUACUGAUUACAGAUAGCUGAGCGAAGCAAAUGAUAAAGAUUGGACCUGAGAAAGCAUCACCUAGGAAAGGCAGUAGAAAUUCGCUGUUUGUCAGAAGAAGAAAAGCCACUACAGUAAUGACAUCGAGAAAAACUCAUCCUACACUAUGGUUUGCUCGAUAGAGAAGCUAUUUUGAAGACUGGCGUCUCGUGUUCCUAAGGUUUCUUCGACCACCUAAGGCUGGAUACCAAGAAACACGAUCACCUUAAGCAUAAGGCCAGAGACAAAUAACAAUCUUAGAGAGAAAGAAAAAUUGGAUCGACUCCAAUUCAGAGAAUAAAAUAAAAAAAUUGGGGUUUGAUCCGUCCACCAUCCCCCACCACACCUGCCCCUAUUAAAAGGUACUUAUAGGUUAUCAACCUUGAAGGGAAAACGCAAACGGUUUCUUUCCACCAUCUA